AUUGAACGCUGGCGGUAUGCUUUACACAUGCAAGUCGAACGGCAGCACGGGAGCAAUCCUGGUGGCGAGUGGCGAACGGGUGAGUAAUACAUCGGAACGUGCCCAGUUGUGGGGGAUAGCCCGGCGAAAGCCGGAUUAAUACCGCAUACGACCUGAGGGUGAAAGCGGGGGACCGAAAGGGCUCGCGCAAUUGGAGCGGCAGCGGUCGGAUUAGCUAGUUGGUAGGGUAAAGGCCUACCAAGGCGACGAUCCGUAGCUGGUUUGAGAGGACGACCAGCCACACUGGGACUGAGACACGGCCCAGACUCCUACGGGAGGCAGCAGUGGGGAAUUUUGGACAAUGGGCGAAAGCCUGAUCCAGCCGUACCGCGUGCGGGAAGAAGGCCUUCGGGUUGUAAACCGCUUUUGUCAGGGAAGAAAAGUUUUGGGUUAAUACCUCGAAACGAUGACGGUACCUGAAGAAUAAGCACCGGCUAACUACGUGCCAGCAGCCGCCGUAA
rnacentral:rRNA from 1 species